rnacentral:sRNA from 1 species
GAAAAACCCAGGCUCAGCAGUUUCCCUGCUGUCUACUUCUCAGAAAUUGUUCCACACUCCCAGGGCUGUAUUCCAGGUUUUUAUUGUGCACUUUAAAUUGGGCUAUCUCUCAACAGUUGCAUUUAAUUGGGUGAUUAUUAAAAACCUCGAGCAAGUUCAGUCACUCUCACCCAGAAAAUGCCCUGGUGUCCAACUUGAAGGCUUGAAUGAGACCAACCUUCUCUCAGGUCCACUGUCCUGCUGGGAGCUGCACGGUAGGGGGGAGCAAAGAUAGGGCUGUGGGUGGAUGUGUCCUCUUGUGGAGUUUGGAAACCACCUAAUGACAGCCCCCACCCAUUACCUACUUCUAAUCACGAAUGGACUGAAAAGCUUAACCCUUAUCACUGCUGCAGCAGAAAGCCAUUUGUCAUAUAUAGAUAUGCUGUGGGCAAAAUGCACACAAUCACAAGGGUAUGAGAUACUCUGAGGUGGGGAUCUUGUUUCAGAGCCAUGCUGUGUAACAAAAGGUACUGUUCUAGAACAGCCGCAGGAGGGUUCCUGAGAGAACUGAAAGGAAACCUUGCUUCCUGACAGAUGUGGCUACAGUGUCAAAAUCGAGUCUCAGAAUGCCCUUGGGAGCACAUAGCACAGACAGUGACUGGAACAUCUGUGGAAUCCCGAAUCCUUGGUUUCCGAGUGAGUGUGCGAACAUCCCACUGACUAGUUCCCUGCAAGUGCUGACGUCAGGGGCUACCUUCCCUAGUCAACUUCCCAUUAAUCCUCCUGCAGUGAGGAAGGAAAACUAGCUUUAGCUUAUGUUUUCAGAGACUCCAGUCCACAGUCAGCUAACUCUGCUGCCCUCUGCCCUGGGCUGAGGCAUCAAAGCAGGACACAUGGUGCACAGCUCAUUGAUCAUCCCAUGGCAUCAGGGGAGGGCAUUUUGAAGUCACUUCAAACAGGUCGUAAACAUUUUCCCCAUGUCAGCCGGGAACUCACAGAACACCAUCACCCCUUCUGCUUCUUCUCCUUCACUGCGGUUUUCCUACGGAGACAUCUGUCUGAUGCCACUGUAGUCCUCAGACCAUUGCUUCUGGAGUCCACUUUGUCUCUAGAGUGGCUAGAAACCCCCGAAUCACAUUUCUAGAGUCAGCCCUAACCAGCCACUGCCAGGAAGGAUACCCAGGUCGUAUUGGAGGACGGAACGACCAGGAACUUGGCAUGGUAUGCCAGCCCGCUGUGAGUGUAUGCUUUCUGAGCAUGGAUAGCCCCAGUGACCCCUCUCACCUGCUGUAUCUCCUUUGGUGGGGUGGGCAGAAGCCCUCGUCUGGCCAUCUGUGGCAGUGUCUCUGCCGAGGCUGAUGCUCCACAGACCCCUGGAAUCUCCACAUUCACUGACGUCUUAGGUGUGUGUGGCCUGUACAGCUUGCCUUCGUCUGGCCCCAGCUGUUCUCUUUCUCCUCUCAUGGGAUACUCCCCACCCUCAAGAGCCAGCCUUGCUAGCUGUGUUUUCCUCAGGUCUUAGCUGAGCAUAAUCAUCCCCCAACACACUGAGUGGGACAGACAAGAGGCCCUCUUGUUACACCAGAGGAAGCUGACCACAUCAAAUCACAGACAAGGUAUGUAGCCAGAAGUCAGAGGUGCAAGGGACAGAGCUCCCCGUCAGCUACAACCACCAUUCCCUUCCUAGAGGUUUCCCAAAGGCAUUCGGUACCCCUGAACCUACAAGACAGUAUAUAUACCCCCAACCUACUGGUCCCAGGCGGGCUUCACAGAACCAAGGGUCCUUGCAGCCCUGCCCACAGUGCCUCACGAGGAAAUGUGGUACUUUCUCAAGCCAGUGAGGCAAAGGUCACUGCUAGGGAGUUAAAUCUAGGGGCAGCAUCCCAGAUUUAAAGAGCAAGCCAUAAGGAAGGCUGCUCUCCACUUCCUCUGUGUGUUACCUCAUCAAAGUGUGAUGUCUAGGGCAUCCCAGCCCACAGGCAAAGCCGCACCAUAUACCAGUGAACAGAGAAACAACUGCUCUCCUCAGGCCGCUGAGGAGCUGAAGCUGCCAGCCCCCGGGCUCUCUGGAGCGUUUCCAUAGCUCAUGGCUCCCAGCUGAACACAGCCAGUCAGAUCUACUCCCGUUUCUGCUGCACCCCCAUCUCUCCCCUCUGUGCUUGCUGUGCAGUAAGUGUGUAAUAUUUGUGAACGUGUAGUGUGUCGGUGUCCCCUGUAGCAGACCGGGCAAUGAGACUUAAUGUGUCAUAUGAAGGGAGUGUUCCAGGGGACACAAAUAAGGGAGCAGAUAUAGGACAAGGGUUGGUGAGGGACAGCACUGGAGCUGGGCUGUCCUCACCCCCACUCUUCAGUAUCAGGCCAUGGCGUUCUCCAGGGACACAGGCACCCAGGCCUUUCCUCAGAGCAGCGCAAGCGACACUGGUCAGACUGUGUUGAAGCAAUAGCAGGAAGCAGCGAGGACCUAGGUGGGGCGCCAGCACUGUGUCUGUCAGUACAACUGUCUGUCUGUCUCAGGACCACUUUCCCAUGGGUGAUACUACCCACAGUGGGAUGGACCCUCCAAUUCUCAGUCAAGAAAGUGCCCGGCAGCACAGUAUCCAACAGACAGCAAAGCCAGGGCUGCCUCCAGACCUGCUGUCCCUUUCACCAUCCUUCCUAGGACCAGAGGGGAUGCCGCCUGCUCAGGAUGGACUCUAUUGAAAUGUAAAAUACACACUUUGCAUAUCAAAAGCAUCAUUGUGUUUAGCUAUGCAUCUCCAGUUUCUUCUUGCAAAACAUUGAAACCUAGCUCAUAAUUUGAUGAUAAAAUAUUGAUUAUUUAUUGACAGCCACAUGCAGAGGUCCAUGGCACAUGAACGGGAGGCCCACCCUGCAUUAUCUGUAUUUUAAGUCAAUAUGAAGAUGGAUAUUCUACCCCUGAGAUGAAUUUUGUUAAAGUGCUUUUGUCAAUAAAAAGACACUCCUGUUAGAGUGUGCCAACUCCUGCUAUUGGCCUGGGGUCUGCUUCUCCACACACCAGGCGGCUCCAAGAGAGGCUUCCAACCUCCAGCAGCUCCUGGUCAGUCUGCAUAUUUCUUUAAGCCAUGUGAGUGAAAAAUAUCAAGGAAUGGUGAGUUGGCAUUCCAGGUGAGAGAGAAUGAAAAGAAAAGCGAACACAACUUAUAAACAAAUCUGGGAGAGCUUCAUCACCAUCCAUAGCAACUGCGUGUCUUCUGCUUCCAAGAUAGAAGAGCGGAAGUGUGGACCAUCUCUGAGCGUCUGCCCUGACUGCCUACCCAGCAGGUAUUGCCACCUGAAUCUUAGACGUAACCUCUUUCAAAUCUUUUUUCUUUUUUACUUCUAAAUUGUUUAUUGGGUAUGAAUUUUAUAAGCAUUACCUGUAUUUGCAGUAAUGGUAGAGCUGAAGAGUAUUCUAUGUCCCCAGGCUGCACGGUGAGAGCCACCAAUAGUGUGGUAAAACUGGUGUGACCCUUUUCAAGGUCACAGAUGUCAGCUCAGGCAUGCCUGUGUGUGUGUGUGGACUGGUUUGGUGAUCCAGUGGGUGUCGGGAUUUUUUUCUGCUAGCCUUACAGAAAGGAUUGCUUCCUUCCCAUCAGAAAGGGAGACACAGAGGCUCAGAGAUCUUAGCAUCAUUCACUCCUUAUAAUGCCCAAUGUUUGAAUGCCGGAUAAAUUUACCUAUCUGCUUCAUUGAUUCAUCCCACAAAGUGAGCUGUGACAGUGCAGUAGGACUCCGGGAUUUACCAGUGAACCAAACAGGCAUUCAAGUGGGCUCUCAAGAAAUAGCUGUAAUUAUUAAGGGCUGGCUAGACUGGGUUAGUCAGCCACUGCACUAGAAGGGAGGAAGCAAUAUAAGACUGAAAGUUCCAGUUUUAAACAGAGAGCUUAAAUCUGAACCAAACUGUGAGAGGGUUAGAGGAGUCAGAGGAACAGCUGUAGAGGAGAGGGAAGGAAUUUCCAGGCACUUACGGGGGCAAGCACUCGGGCAGGGAUGUGCCUGACUUAUUUGAAGAAAAAUGAGUGUCUGGGAUGAAGUGAGUUGAAUGUUCAUGGUUAAAUUAGAAGAAUGAGACUAAGCUUCCUGCAGUCCAUUUACCCCGCCUGCACCUCACAGAGUCUCUAGGAAGAGUAUACCAAGAAAGGACAGCAGCCUGGACGCAGCUGGCAGGGAGCAACAAGCCCGGGAGUUUUCAGGUAAAGAAGCCACUUGUAACUAGCAGUGUCCUGAUUGGACUCAGACAUACAAACUUGAGGCCUGGGAAACUUGUGGUGGGGUUAGAAAGACACCCCCUCCCAUUGGCUAAUUCUGGGGCCCUGGGAAACCCUAGCCUUGGGGCAAAGUCUGGAGUCUGUCUAUACAGGGAACCUACAGCAGUGGCAGGUGAGAAGAAAAUUUCAAAUUUGCAAUUUUCAAGUGUCAGAAUGAUAUUGUUCCACUCAUCUGAUGCCUGGCCUGAGAAACAGGUCCUCCUGGUUUCCAUCAACACGUCUGCUGGGUGAGGGUGGCCUUUGCUCUCUCAACCAUCCAGACCCUGACUAAGAAUGCCCGCUCCAACACCGGCUACCAGAGUACCCCACCCCAUGCACCCAAGGACAAGACCUAAGGUCUGCACAGUACUUCUAGAAGAUUCUAUUCUAAUCAGAGGCUCUCCUAACACCUCAGUUCAAGGUAUUGGAGAGACAGAAACCCACAGGUUAUCCUCUGAAAGGCAAACACAGGGCCCAGACUCCCCACCCAGGAAAGAUCAAUAUUCACCUGUGAGCAUUAUGUGUGGCCCAUGACAUAAGACCCUUUAUGCAACAGUUUGAAAGCAAGAACAGCCAAGAUGAGCAGAAAGAGAGAUAUUGGUCCUGGCAUGAGCAUCUAAGACCUUAAAGCCCGUCCCCAGUAACACAGUUCUUCCAACAAAGCUAUACCUCGUAGUGUCAGCCAGCAUUGAAGUGUCAGUUAUGUGGGUGAACCAUGAUGAAGGGGAUCCUCCCAGCCCACUCAUCCUCUGAAUGAUAGCAGCCCAGGUACACCUGCGCCUGCAGGCUCUCCAGGCAGAGCCACCCGCUGCUGCUGCCCUGAACUUAUACCCAGCAAAAGAUAGGGUGUCCAUUAUGCAGUCUCCCCUGACACUGGUGUCAGCGGAACUGUUAGACAGCAGUAGACAAUUAUUCCAAGCAGGUCUCAUCUUGAUGUGGUCACUUCUCAGACAACACACGUGAGGUCUUCCCCCCACCACCACACCACGUAUGGACUUCUCUGCAAAGCCCCCACAGAAGCCACUUGCUCUGUAUGAAACCUUGUCUUCAAAUAUGUGUAUAGAGUUCCAAGUCCUCAGAAGUUCAGACAGAAGAACUGCUGUGAGUUCUAGGCCAGCCUAAGCUACAUAGUGAACUUCACAUCAGCCUGGGCUACAGAGUAAAAUCUGUCUCCAAAAACAAAACAAAUGCUAUCUACAGCUGUCUCUUCCCUGGACUCUUAGGAGUGUUGCCCCCUCUAGGAAGCUCACUAGAUCCAGUCAGGGAUCCUUCCUCCACAUGCCUACAACCGUACUCUCUUGUUGUCCCUUCUUGGAAGACUUGCCACAUAGCCUCAGAGGGCCAGAGCCAAACAUGUUUUUUCUCCUAAGUGUUAGCUACUAGGAGGCUUGGUUCCACUACAGAUGACUCGCAGAGCUUUGUGAUCAGAAGACUUCAACACUAACCUAAGUUUUUACUCUCUGUAGGAUUAGUCAGUGAUAGCCUGGCCCCAUUUUAUCUCCCUGAUCUUAAUGUUUUUUUGCCCUGACUACCUCAUCUGUUUCAUCACUUUAUGUGUGUGGCCUUCUGCAAAUUGCAACAAAUCCUUGGUGACAUGAGGCAGCAUUAGCUCAUCUUCCCUGGUCUGAGAUGUGGGCAGAGAUUCUGAGUGGAGGAAGCAGACCCACUUCUGAGUGGGCGGCACACUCUUGACAUUCCUUUGACUUCUUAUCUCCUGCCUCACCUCCCCAAGGUGACAACAUUCUGUCUGGCAGGUGGGAUGUGAGGAGGGAACGCCCUCAGGAAGUGUAGGCCUCACCACACCUCACCAGCACAGUCAUCUAUAGCUGUUGAACUGUCACACAUGGUCACCAUCCAGAUCCAAGGCUUUUCCUUAAGGAGCCCAGCAACCUAUGAAAGGAGUUUGCCUUCCCUGGAGCAAUGCUAGAUGCCCGGUUCAAGGCUCAACCACACCAAGGGCACAGACUCAACUGUCACUAACCCCACAGCAGGGAAGAAGCACACUGGCUUAGGAUCCCAGGCAAGAUAACGCCACCAACUACAGUGAUCUGGUGCAGAAGAGGAUUUUUUUCUUUCUGCUGGGAGGUUACAUUGUAGCAGCCAUCAUGGUAAGAAGUCAGUGUCUUUAAGAUGAGCCGGCUAAGGGCCUACCUCUAGCUCUCUGACCAGCAAACACUCUUUGAUUUCAGUUAGCUUCUCAUGUCAUGGGCAGCAGGGGAGAGCAUGUGAACAGAAAGGAUGCCAAUGGGCUGUUUUCUGUGGUACCCUUUUUCUUUUUUAUUAGAAAGCCAAGCUUCCGGUCUCAUGUGCAUGUGCAUAUACACACAAACACAGGCACACACACUCACAAGGACUCCGAAUGCUCCAGGUCCCCAUCCAUGGUGAAUAGAAUGUAGAUUGUGAGUCCCAUCUCAUAGGUAUGGAUUGAGCCAAUCCCUAGGCAAAGCCUCCAUGGUUUCAUUCCACCCCUUUGGCACAUGGAAGCCCUAAAGCUGAGUCAGGGUGGGUAAGCACCCAAGAUCCACCCAAAGAAAUGACUCCUGUGCUGGGUAGCACACAUCUUGGAAGGCUAAAGGGCAAUUGUAAGCUUGAGACCACCCUAUGCAACAGCAAACCUCUCCAAAAAACCAAAAAGCAAAAACAACUUCUGUCCCAGGGUUUACAGGAAUAACAUCAGAGUCUGUAAAUUUUUGGUAAAAAUUUAAAAAAUAAGUAAAUAAAAACCCUCAGGGAACCCACACCUUAGCCAGCAAUGGAGCCACACAGACUUCCCCAUUAGACUGGGAAGCUUAAUAUCUAAUACUGUCUUUAUUGUCCAAUCACUUUCUAGCUAUUUUAUUAAUCACACUGGAGAGUCCAAAUUUGUUACUCCUUAAUAAAUACAGUGUGUCUAGUUAACAAAAUGUUUACAAAGACAAGGACCAGUGGGUGGUAAUAAGGCUAAACUUUAUCCUACAGAGCUGAGAACCACCAGGCCACCACCCUCUGGGAGGGAGAAACGGGACAAAGUCACACUUUCUCAAGCCUCAAAUUGCUCUGAAACUUUUAGAAUGUUCUGUAGUUUACGGUUGCCUGUUGUAUCUUGAAUUAUAAAAGACAGUCUCUUUUAGAGUCUAUUUUUUUCUUAAUUCAAUCAAACCACUGUGAAUGAAGAGUCUGGCCCUUAAAGUCAGUAUGACACCUGAGUAUGACGUCAGCUUUUUCAUCUGCUAAGUGGGAGGAAGAGAGGGGGAGGCUUACACAACUGCCCGGUCACAUCAGCAUUUUCUCCUUACUCGAUUGUCUCAAAAGUCUAGUGAGAGAGGUAUUUUUCUCCUUUUAUGACAAAAUUAUUGUUUGGAGAGAGUAAAAGAUUCACCAAAAACAACUGACGUAAAACCAAUCCGACAGCUGGGUUCAGAACCAUGGACAGAGGCAGGGGUCUGGCGUCUUCUAGGUGAGCCAGAGAAGUAAAGAGCGUGGGAGUGGGUGCUGUCUCUCUGGGGAGAAAGGGGGCUGGAGUGAGGUCGACACAUUGCCAUAACUUAUUCUGCCUGCAUCACGCUGGGCUCUUCAGAAUUUCUUCUGUCCUCCCAUCCAGAGGAUAUGCAAUGCCAUUCCCAAACAGCCACCCAGCAUGUGUGUAAGAGUAGACGAAAGGAACAGUUAUCUAAAGCCCAUCGAAACCCACUCUUGGAAGCACCAGUAAUAGGCAAAACCCUGGAGCUCCAUGCCUAGCAGAUGGGUGGCUGUUUCUCAUGUGUAGCCUCCAGCAGGACUCCUUGCUUCUAAAAAUGGUGAUGCUUCCUUUCUCCUUGUGGCUGGCCACCUUCUGACUUGGCUUCUAUAGUUGCUGUGUUUAUCACAUCGAAAUAAAGGAGGAAACUCAGGAGCAAAUGCUCAGAUAGUUAAUCAAGCUAAGUUUGGAGAGGCACGUGUCACCUUUACUCAGACCAGAACUCAGCCCUCAGCAUAUAUAGACAUAUAGAGAAGAUAGUUAGGCAUAUAGAUAGACAGGCAGAUGAUAAAUGGGUGAGCAGGUGGGUACAUAGAUAAUAGGUAGGUAGAUGAUGGAUGGAUACGUGGGUGGGUGAAUGGACAGACAGACAGAUGGAUAUAUAUCAAAGCCUGUCUUCACAGUGCUGGGAUUUCUUGUUUAGCCAUUGGGCCAAGGCCUGCAGAUUUUUAAAAAUUAUUUUUUAUGUAUAUCUGUGCACCCGUGUGCAUCUCUGGUGCCUCCAGAGGUCAGAAGAGGGUGUCAUGUCACCUGGAAUUUCAUUUACAGAUGUUUAUGAGCCUCCUGUGGCUAUUGAGCAUCUUACCCAGGUACUCUGGAAGAGAAAUGCUCUUGACAGUGUCUCUGUCUAGCCCCUCUCAGGAAUAUUUUGAUAUGGAAAUUAUAGUUCCUUCCAUUGCAAGAAACAGAAAGGGCUCACCAGUCUUAAAUAAGAUAGUAAGUCACUGGCUCAUGUGUGUAAGACUGGAUCACAGCAUGACUCAGACUUCAACAUCUUCCCAGGGAUACCUGGACUGUCUCUCAUUCGUGUCCUCCAUGACUGCUCUCAGACAAGCUCCUCCACCACUCAAUAUGGCUGACAACUGCUCCUGGCAUAUGUUUUUAUCAGUGAUCCUAAGAGAUUUUUUUCCCCUCCAUAAAAAUUCCAUGGUAUAUCCUGUUGGUACUAAGUGUCCUAAUUAGGUCCCAUAUUCCAUGUGAUCAAAAAGAUGGUGCCCUUGUCCAGACCUAGGCCAUGGCAGCCCUGGAUAUGGGAGAGGCCUGUUCUGUAUAAUGCAGACAAGCUAAAACAGAUACAGGCAGCUCCCCUGGAAGCCACCAUUACUGCUGUCUCCCAAUGGGGAAGACUGGUGCCAGGCAAGCCUGGACUGACACCAUCACAUCAGCCUUCCUCACGAUGGCUGUGGGCGGGCUGCAGUCAUGUGAGGCUUGAAGCUAUCUGCAGAGCUGUGGAAGCAGCAGGUUGUCUCCCCACCCAUCCUCUCCGUGCUUCACCCAUUCACUGGUCAUGUGACAGCACAGCUCUCCAGGUUCCUGUUAGAAGGCAAGGAGUGUGUUUGGCCCCUUUGCAUAGACUCCACCAGAAGUCUUUCUCAAUAUCUUUACCACACCCUGCAAGGUUAGAGCAUGCCUCCAAACCCCUCAGAGACCUUAGGAGAUAACAACUCCUAAAGCCUUCCGGACCUCAAGAGCCAUGAACCAGGAAAUCAGUUCAUCAUUUUGUGGAUAUGUGAGUGUGAAGGCCUUCAUUAAACCACCCAAGGAGGCCCAUCCUGAAGUGGGUCAGCAGCACCAGGGGCAGCUUCUCUAGCAUCCAGAUAGAUGCUUCAAGUAUUUGAUGAUAGGAUUCCAUGCACCAGUUUGCAUUGUGGAGAAACAAGAAGCUUUGGGUCAACCUGACAUGAUAGCUUUGUCAACGUUUCUCAAAGAGGACUCCUUGUUACACGGAGUGCAGCAGUCAGUUUUUGUUCCUUUAAAGG